AAUCAUUAGUCUUUUAAUUUGAGACUGGAAUGAAUGGUUUGACUAAUUAAUUUUGUCUCAUUUUAAUACCUUGAAUUUUAUGUUUUAGUAAAAAAGCUAAAAUUUUUUUUAAAGACGAGAAGACCCUAUCAAGCUUUAUAAUUAAUUUUUACAUUCAAAGUAAAAUAAGAAUUAUUUUACUGGGGCAGUAGACAAAAAUUUUUUUGUUUAAUCAUUUUGAUAAAUUUAUCUUGAAAAACCAAAAAUUUUUUAAAAAAUAAUAAGUUACUGUAGGGAUAACAGCAUAAUUUUUUUAAAGAGAUCUUAUUAUCAAAAAAGUUUGUGACCUCGAUGUUGGAUUAAGAUUCCUAAUUUGCGCAAUAGUAAACAAGG
rnacentral:rRNA from 1 species